AUACUUACUUGUCAGGGGAGAUACCAUGAUCUCGAAGGUGGUUUUCUCAGGGCAAGGCUUAUCCAUUGCACUCCGGAUGUGCUGACCCCUGUGAUUUCCCCAAAUGCAGGAAACUUGACUGCAUAAUUUGUGGAAGUGGAGGACUGCGUUCACGCUCUCCACAU